UUCAUCGUGAUGGGGAUAGAUCNNUGCAAUUGUUGGUCUUCAACGAGGAAUGCCUAGUAAGCGCGAGUCAUCAGCUCGCGUUGACUACGUCCCUGCCCUUUGUACACACCGCCCGUCGCUCCUACCGAUUGAAUGGUCCGGUGAAGUGUUCGGAUCGCGGCGACGGGGGCGGUUCGCCGCCCCCGACGUCGCGAGAAGUCCAUUGAACCUUAUCAUUUAGAGGAAGGAGAAGUCGUAACAAGGUUUCCGUAGGUGAACCUGCGGAAGGAUCAUUG
rnacentral:rRNA from 1 species